rnacentral:rRNA from 1 species
AUGUCGAGUAUGGGUAGAAAGUAUCCAUCCAAAAGUCAUAAAAGAAAGAAGAAGAAGAAGGAUGCAGAUGAGGAGAAACAAGCAUUGAGCGGAUCUCUUUUUAAAUAUUAUAAGAGCGAUACGAGCACGCCAAGAAAUCCAGAUGAGUUGGCAAUAGUUCUUCCGGGUGACCGAACUAAUGGCAAUCCAGAAGAUGAUGGCGAUACGCCUAUAGAAGGCAAUGAUGAUGUCAACAUGGAUGAUACUAAUGUGAGUGAUCAUGAGCCCAUAUUUAAUUCAUCUGCGACAUAAUCUACUAGUGUUGAUGAGGAACUCGUUAGUGUGGAUAUUUAUGAUCCAAGCAAUUGGGGUAAUCUUGGUAACAAAGCGAGGGACCUAUUAGUGGAAAAGGGGCCUAAAAGGGAAGAAUAAAACACUAAAUAUCCUUUGGAUGCAAAUUUAAGACAUUUUUCGUAUAGCCAUUGCUCAUAUAGGCUUUUCAAUUCUAAUAAAUGCAAGAGUGCAAUGGGGAAUGAUGGGAGUUGUGAUUGGAGGCAUAUUAAUGAGAGACUAAAAGAGCACGAAGCUAGUGUCGACCAUAUUACCAACAUGAACUCUUGGAAUGAAUUGAGAGUUAGACUGAGCAAGCAUGAAAUAAUUGACAAAGAUUUACAGCAACAAAUCACAAAGGAGAAAGAACACAUAAGGCAAGUUUUGUUAAGAAUUGUUGCCAUUCUUUAUGAUGAUUCUAAUGGAAAUUUUUUAGCUUGUGUGGAGAUGGUUGCAGAGUUUGAUUUGGUAAUGUAAGACCAUCUUAGGCGUAUUCAAGAUAAAGAGAUCCAUCGCCAUUAUCUUAGCCAUAAAAUUCAAAACGAGUUGAUUUCUCUUAUUGCUAGUGACAUUAUAAAUUCUAUUCUCAAGAUUGUCAAAGUGGCCAAAUAUUUCUUUGUUAUCCUAGAUUGUACCCCGGAUGUGAGUCAUCAAGAACAAAUGAGUUUGUUGGUACGAUGUGUUCAUAUAUCUGAUGUGAAAAUACAAAUUGUGGAGUACUUCCUUGCUUUUUUGGUAGUAAAUCCAAGGGCUUUGUAUAUGCCAUGUGCUUGCCACAGUCUUAACCUUACCCUUUGUGAUAUGGCUAAAUCUUGUGGUAGAGUUGUUUCUUUUUUUGGAAUUGUGCAACGAAUAUAUAUAUUAUUCAGUGGUUCCACAAAAAGAUGGAAAGUUUUUGUUAGCCAUGUGACAGAUUUGACUGUGAAAUCGUUGAGCAAUACUCGUUGGGAGAGUCGUAUCAGAAGUGUUAAAGCAAUUAGAUUUCAAGCUCCUAACAUAAGAUCAGCUUUACUUGAGUUAAGCAAAGAUAGUGGUACCGAACCCAAGGAUAGGAGUGAUGCAAAAAAAUUGUUUGAUGUGCUUGGCAGCUAUGAGUUCAUACUUGCCAUGUGCAUUGAGACUGCCUUAAAGCAAAUAGAUGGUAUGAGGACUUAUUUUGACACUUAUAGAGAGGAAGGGUUUGAUUCUAGUGUGGUCAUUGCCAAAGAAAUCGCAGCUGAAAUGGAUGUAGAGCCAUCAUUUCCAGUAAAGCGUCGUGAUUUUAAAGUCAAUUAUUUUUUUAUUAUGGUUGAUAAGGCGGCCACUUCACUGAAAAUUAGAUUUGAAGAACUUGGGUCAUUCAAAAUUAUAUUUGGAUUUUUAAUGAGUUCAACGGCCUUGAAGUCAUUGGACCGUUCUGAACUUAAAGACAAUUGUACAAAAUUUGCAAGUGCUUUCUCUUCUGGUGGUUCAUCUGACGUUGAUUUAAAUGAUCUAAUUUUUGAGUUAAUUAUUAUGCAGUCAACUUUGCCUGAUAGAACAAUGUAUGCUAUGGAGAUUUUUGAGUUUGCGAGGGAAGCAGAUUGUUAUCCAAAUAUUGCUAUUGCAUACCGGAUUUUCUUUACUAUGCCUGUUACUGUGGCAUCAGCUGAAAGCAGUUUUUCAAAGUUGAAAUUGUUGAAGAACUACUUGAGAUCUACAAUGUCACAAGAGAGGUUAAAUGGCUUGGCAACUUUAUGCAUCGAGAAAAAAAUGGUUGAUGAAAUUGAUAUUGAUACUAUCGUUAGUGAUUUUGCAUCUCAGAAUGUUAGAAGAAAAUGUUGA